CAAUAGCGUAUAUUUAAGUUGCUGCAGUUAAAAAGCUCGUAGUUGGAUUUCGGUUAAGAGCGACCGGUCCGCCGUUUGGUGUGCACUGGUUGGUUUUAACUUCCUGUAGAGGACGUGCUCUGGGUUUAACGACCUGGACUCGGAGUCUACGUGGUUACUUUGAAAAAAUUAGAGUGUUCAAAGCGGGCUUACGCUUGAAUAUUUCAGCAUGGAAUAACACUAUAGGACUCCUGUCCUAUUUCGUUGGUCUCGGGACGGGAGUAAUGAUUAAGAGGAACAGUUGGGGGCAUUCGUAUUUCAUUGUCAGAGGUGAAAUUCUUGGAUUUAUGAAAGACGAACUUCUGCGAAAGCAUUUGCCAAGGAUGUUUUCAUUA
rnacentral:rRNA from 1 species